rnacentral:lncRNA from 1 species
UAAAAUCUGUGUUUAUUUUUAUGUAUUUUAGGUCAGUUUAUUACUACCAAAAUGGAUCAAGUUGAACAAUUUAAAGACAAUAGUGCCCUUAAUUAUCCCAAAUAGAGUGUCUCUAAUUCCCAGAACAAAGAUGGAUGGAAGCAAAUGGGGUUUGAAGAGAAAAAGGCUGCAGUUAAUGAAGAAAUGGGGAGAAUGAACCAACUCCCUGCAAACAGCUCUUAUGUAAUACAUUGCUCAAG